rnacentral:tRNA from 1 species
AAGAUUUUAAGUUAAAAUUUAAACUAUUAAUUUUCAAAAUUAAUUAUAAAGAUUAAUUUCUUUAAGUCUUA